rnacentral:rRNA from 1 species
CGCGAAUUCGCCCUUCGGGGCGCACCAGGCGCGAAAACUUUACAAUGCUGGAAACAGCGAUAAGGGGACCUCGAGUGCCAGGUUACAAAUCUGGCUGUCGUGAUGCCUAAAAAGCAUUGCAUAGCAAGGGCCGGGCAAGACCGGUGCCAGCCGCCGCGGUAACACCGGCGGCUCGAGUGGUAACCGUUAUUAUUGGGUCUAAAGGGUCUGUAGCCGGCCGGAUAAGUCUCUUGGGAAAUCUGGCAGCUUAACUGUCAGGCUUUCAGGAGAUACUGUCUGGCUCGAGGCCGGGAGAGGUGAGAGGUACUUCAGGGGUAGGGGUGAAAUCUUGUAAUCCUUGAAGGACCACCAGUGGCAAAGGCGUCUCACCAGAACGGACCUGACGGCAAGGGACGAAAGCUAGGGGCACGAACCGGAUUAGAUACCCGGGUAGUCCUAGCCGUAAACGAUACUCGCUAGGUGUCGGCCACGGUGCGACCGUUGUCAGUGCCGUAGGGAAGCCGUGAAGCGAGCCACCUGGGAAGUACGGCCGCAAGGCUGAAACUUAAAGGAAUUGGCGGGGGAGCAC